rnacentral:lncRNA from 1 species
GUUGGUGAAUACAUGGAUAUUUGGGGAGAAUGACCUACUCAGAGAGGGCAUGGAAGCUCUGAAUCCCUUUUCCCACACACCUUGUCCUUUGCAUUUCUUCUUCUGGCUGUUCCUGUGUUUUAUGCUUUUAUAGUGAACUGGUAACCCAGUGAUUAAACAUUUCCCCAAGUUCUGUGUGCUGCCCUAGCAAAUUAAUCAAACCCAUGGAGAGGGUGGUGGAAACCUUCAAUCCAUAGCUAAUUGGUCAGAAGCCCAGGUGACCACCUGGACUUUUGAUCGGUAUCUGAAGUGGGUUCAGGGGAGAGGGAGUGGUCUUGUAGAACUGAGCCCUUAACCUAUGGGAUCUCACGUAUCUCCCGAUAGAUUGUGUCAGGAUUCAGUUGAAUUUUAGGACACUGAGCUAGUGCUAGAGAAUUGCUUGGUGUGAGAAAAAGCCCACACAUUGGAAUUAGUUUCACAGUUGUAUCAACUGUAAUCUUUUCCUUCCUCCGAUCUCAAACCCGCGUUUUAGGUCCUGUGUCAAGUCUUACUUCCUUCACUCUUUCCUCACCAACAUCUUCGAGCUUCCCAAAGGAUCCCAUUUCACACUCAUGGAAACAUUUGCUGCAGUUUAUAGCAUUCUUGGUGGUUUGGUUCUGCCAUAGAGAUGACAGUAUAAAACAUAGAGAACAGAAGUAUAGUGCAGUGGUUUCUAAAUUUCUUUUCAAACACAAAAGUAUGCAGAAUUCUGAUACAAAAUAGAGGGAAGCAGGGAUGCUCUGGUGGAUGUGAAGGUACUGACCUCCCAACAUUUUCAUCUAGUUCCUGGCCCUUUCCUAUCUAAUGAGCAGGCAACCCAUAGUCAGAAUGACGGAAUUCAAACUCAGUCCUACUAGGUGAUCACAGACAAGUUCUCAUGUAUCUGGGUCUCUCUUCUUUAUCUUUGCCAUAGAAAUUAAUUUUAGGCCAACCUCAAGGGUUGAAUUAAGGCUUCAACGAGAUAAACAACCAGAAAUGUUUCACUUUCUUCUUUUCAUGUCUUCAACUGUCCCUUCUCCAGCCUGUUUUUUUCCCCCUCAAUUCUUCGUACCCUCCCUCCCCAUUUCUAUAAUACCUUUCAUAAUGCAGUAUCCACAGUAGGCCUUCACCGUACAUUUCUUCAUUUAGGGUUUCAUUUCCUGAAUAGUAAAGAUUGAUUUUGAAUAUAUUAUAAUUACAAUAUAUGCUAAGAAAAUAAUAUAACAGCCACCAUGUUGGUGUUUCUGGACAUAUAUUUAUAGAGCUAUUUUUUAUUAUGGAAAUAGAGUUUGCAUAUUCAUGGACUAUGUUUUCCAUUCCACAAUACCACAUUAGGCAAUAUAUUACAUCUCCUGGCCUGCUUGAUAUUCAUUGCUAAUAAAGUCUCAUAGAAAUAAAGCUAUGUGGUAAUAGAAUGGCAGGUUUUUAUUACAGAGAUGUUUCUAUUAUGCUAAUUUAUGAUUUAGAUGAUUUACGCUAAUAAGUGUAAUUUCUUAAUAUAAACAAAACUAUAGUCAAAUUUUGAAAUGCCUCUACCUCUGGCUGGCAAAUUUACAUACCUCACAGUUUUAUUAAAUAUAGUCUGUGGAGAUAAAACACAUUUUUUACAUAACAAUCACCUCCGGCUUUUCCAUGGAGAAUUUGAUGGCAUAAAACAGCUGCACAUCUGUAAUUGUUUUGCCACCUGUUCUGUGGAAGUGAAGGUUCUGUGCCUCUCAGUGGUGACUGGAUGAUGUUUGGCUCACGUUUCAAGGUCAUGAGUUCCCCUACCUUCAUUUUUUGAAACCCUUCGAAGUAUGGAGUAGGGUGGGUAAUAUCUGAUGGAGCUGAUUUUCCAAGGGUUGAUUAGAAAUUUUCCAGAAGAAAGGAAUUAAAUAGCAAUUUGUUCAAAAUCAGCCAGAUGACCAGAUAAGAGGAGACACCCACCAUCUGUGAUGAGCUUUAAUUUCUAAUUUUCCAAAGGGCAGUUAUUUUAGUUUUACUUCAAUUCAGAAAAAUAGAUUGAGUUCAAAAGAAACAGGAGCAUUUAGGAAAAAACUAUGAGGGAUGACAAUAUUGUUUAGUGAUUGGUCUCGUUUUCUCUCAAGCAUGCAUACCCACAUGUUCACACAGAAAUUAUCUCUCAAUCUAUGAAUGUUAAUUGUAUGAUAUUAAAGCACAUUGAUCAUUCUAUCUCAAUUAAGUAAAAUCUUAUGGGUGAUUUCUUUUGACCUCAUUCUGAACAACUGCACUAAGAUCGUUAAAUCACCGAAGGUCCUAAAUCUACCUGUUGUGAGAUUAAUAUAGAUGACCCGUGUGUUUAUACCAGCAACUCUACUUUGGGGUGUCUUAAAGUGAUAUUCGUGUAAUCACUCACUAUGAUGUGACACGGUAUUGAAUCGUCGCAUCACCCACAGAGAGAUGACAGGUGAGAUGAGGAAAGGAAUUCCUAAAAUGUAAAAGUUCUUAUAACUUUCUCAUACAACCUGCUACAUAUAUCCAAUCCUUAGAAAUUUCAUUUUUAGUUUUCAGUUUUACAUCAUGGCUUAAAUCAUGAUUUUGUUUAUUCAAGUGUAAUUACGCAUAGGACAGACUGCCUAUGACAUAUAUUCCAUGUAACCUUCCUUCUGUCAACAUGUAAUGAAAAAGGAAAGUUCACAGAUAGAAAGGAGAGGAUUGACUUAAGAGGAUUUGUUGCUUUGUUUUUGUUUUAAUAUACAGAAACAACAUAAAAGUGGCAAAAACGUAGUCAAAGAUGCAUCUCGAGUUUCCACCUAGAUUGGUUCAUGGAUAAUUGUGCCACUAGUAGAAAUCAGCAGUGAGGGGAUAGGAAUUGUUUUAGAGAGAAGGGAAGGCAAUGAAUCCAACUUAUGCUGCAGGUCCAGGGGCUUCUUGACCUAAAUUUGAUGUCCUUACAUUGUAGGGAGCACUGUAUUAGAUCUCUUCUGAGGGUGAUUUUGCCCCCACCCCCACCCCUGCAAGGAACACGUUCUGCAAAGUUUGGAGAUAUUUUUGGUUGUUAAACUGGAGAGUGAAAGGAGUGGCUAUCACUAGCAUCCAGCAGAGCCCAGGAAUGCUGUUAAGGACAGAACCCCCAGUGCACAGGGGAUACCAUGGAAACAUUCAGCCCAAAAUGUCAACAGUGUCCAGACUGAGAAACUGUUUACUGGAUCAUGGAGGACGGUUUUAUACACACAGGGCUGUCAUCCAAGAGCGUGGAAACAAGAGUGCCCCAUAAUGAAAAACAUGUGGAGAAUAAACAUUAUAGGAGUUCAUGGAGGUUCAAAGAUUGUAGGAGGAUGAUAGAAACAACGAAAUACAUUAAUGCAUUUUCAGGAACCCAGUGAUGUAGAAUUAUUAUCCUUGGUAUACAUAUAAAGCGACAAAGGCUUAAGAAGUAAUUUUUCCAAGUUUACAUAGCUAUUAGUAAGCAGCAGAAGAAAAUUUCAAACUUACUUCUCUUUGACUCCACAGUCAAUUCACUGUCCUGUCUACCAAACUGAGAACUAAAAGCUAUUACAAUGAGUGAUAAAUGAUCUUUCCAACAAUGACUGAGGGCUUCCUGCUGUCCUUGAAUGCUUAAUGUUGAACAUUUUGCUAGGCUGAUCUGCAGCCCAUAUUUAGGGAUCAGCAGAGGACUGCUGUAAAUAUUAUAAUUUUAGCAAUGCUUCUAGCCUCCAUAUAUUUGCUACUUAACACCAGGAGCAACCUCCUGAAAUGGGCCAGAUCAUACAUGGUCAAAAGCAUACAGCAUCCCUUAAAAUAACCUGAGAUAUCUUUUAGAAACAUAAAUCAGAGUAUCUACUCUUUGCUUUGAUUAUUGCCUUGCAUAGCUUUUACAACCCCCUGGAAAUGAUGUUGAUACUUAAUGCUGAAGCCAUAUACUGGAGCUAUAUUUUGGAUCAGAAAAUGAGUACAUCACUAUAUGGCAAUUCGUGACCAUAAAAUACAAUAAGACCUCUAAACAUCAAGAGGCAAGAAUUAGAUUCAGUCCCCUGCUCAACAAAUACAUUAAUUUUUGACCUUGGUUCAGUCACUUAUUAUUUUUAGGACCCAACUGCAAAUGACUGAAUUAAACUUUUCAAGCAGUCAUUGGUAGCUCCAAUUGGAACGGAUUCUAUGAUCCUUAGAACUUAAAAGCACAUAAGCCCUGGAGUUCCCGCUGUGGUGCAACAGAUCAUUGGUGUAUCUGCAGCACAAGAACACAGGUUUGAUGACUGGCCUGAAACAGCAGGUUAAAGGAUCUCUGGUUUUACCACAGCAGCAGCGUAGGUCACAAUUCUGGUUCAGACCCCUUACCUGGAACCUCCAUGUGCCACGGGUAGCCAUAAAAAGAAAAAUACAAAUGAACAAACAACAAAAAAACCUAUGUCAUCCCAAACUGCCACUUUAGCAAUACCUAACAGUACUCAUCCAUGCAUUCAACAAACGUUCCUUGUAAACCUACUCUUUGUAAUGCAGAGGGGGCUAAAUAUAAAGCUUAAAAGACUUGAUUCCUGCCCAGAAACUAAAAAUAACUCAAAAUUUAUUAUGAGAAGAAGUAGAGUCGUAGCUAGUAGAUAAGUUCAGACACAAUACUUUGAUUUAGGGGACAAAAGUGAUUGAUUAAUGGGCUGGCAUUUGAAUGAGAAGGUUGAAAAUUGAGUACCAUUAUCAAAAAUAUCCUUUUUUUCUUUAUUUCUUUUUUUCUUUUUUUUAAUAGGUACUGAGAGUAAUGGAGAUCCAUUUCCCUGGAAUGGGUUAGCUCUUCUCUUUAUUCAUUCCCAAAAGAUUUGCAUUGUGCCCUUGUGGAAAGGGCACUUUAUCUGUCAUCAUUACUGGAUAUCAUUUUCUAACUGAAUGCUUGGCACAAAGUGAUAUGCUAUUUCACAAAUAAUUAUGAAGUAUUCUAUAUAGUACUUUCAUGGAGCUGGGGUCUGGGUAUUUUUUAAAUG